UGCCAGCCGCCGCGGUAAUACGAAGGGACCUAGCGUAGUUCGGAAUUAUUGGGCGUAAAGGGCUCGCAGGCUGCUUGAACAGUUAGACGUGAAAUCCCAGAGCUUAACUCUGGAACUGCCAUCAAAACUUUUCAGCUAGAGUAUGAUAGAGGAAAGCAGAAUUUCUAGUGUAGAGGUGAAAUUCGUAGAUAUUAGAAAGAAUACCAAUUGCGAAGGCAGCUUUCUGGAUCAUUACUGACACUGAGGAACGAAAGCAUGGGUAGCGAAGAGGAUUAGAUA
rnacentral:rRNA from 1 species